CAUAGAGCCUAGGGAUUGGUUGUAUGCCAUCUAAUGGCAUUUGUCAAAUUUUUUUACAGAACUCUAAGAAACUCACUUGUGGCAAUCAAACUUUUUCUCACCUGUGGUUCCAUGUAUCAAAUGUUUGUAUGUGGAAGUAAUAACCAUAGUAAUAACUAAUACGUAUGAUUGCUAUCUUCUUUUUUGUAUUCUUGGAUAUGAUUGAUGACUUGGUGUUACGUUUCUUCUCCCAUUUUGCCUGCAGGGGCCGUCAGAUUUAUAUACAAUUAUACAUAACAAGAUCUUUUCCUAGGCAAAUGUCAUUGUUACUCCGACAACUGGUGUAACUGCAUACAUGAUCAAGGAUGAUGCUUCAAAAACUGGUGAACUGGAUUACAUUAAUUGAGCUGCACUGGUACGCUAUCAAAUCGCAGGAAAUUUCCUUGGUCUUCCUGCAGUUACUGUACCGGUGAGAAUACAAACUUAUUCAUUUGCAUUGACUUUUUCAUGGUCAAAUUACUCUCAUCCCAAUCACUCUUAGCCGCCCAAUUUCUACGCCGGUCUAGAUUGGAUAUGAUAAAGCUGGGUUGCUUAUCGGCCUGCAGUUUAUUGGAAAAGGUGCGUGUGCUAGAAGUGGAAGAUGAUGGAUAUAACUAUAGAGAGAAACUUGGUAUAGUGGUAGUUGAUCUGUAGAGAAGUACUGUUGAUGUUUUGCAUAAUUAUACAUCUUAUGAAGAGAGAGAAAGGCAGUCAAAUGGCUCAAUAAAGUUGUUGAUAUGUACAUUAUUAUCAUCUUAUUCAAGUAUUGCAUAUUGAUU